rnacentral:rRNA from 1 species
CCUACGGGGGGCAGCAGUGAGGAAUAUUGGACAAUGGGUGAAAGCCUGAUCCAGCCAUCCCGCGUGAAGGAUGACGGUCCUAUGGAUUGUAAACUUCUUUUGUACAGGAAUAAACCUACUCUCGUGAGAGUAGCUGAAGGUACUGUACGAAUAAGCACCGGCUAACUCCGUGCCAGCAGCCGCGGUAAUACGGAGGGUGCAAGCGUUAUCCGGAUUUAUUGGGUUUAAAGGGUCCGUAGGCGGGCCUGUAAGUCAGUGGUGAAAUCUCAUAGCUUAACUAUGAAACUGCCAUUGAUACUGCAGGUCUUGAGUAAAUUUGAAGUGGCUGGAAUAAGUAGUGUAGCGGUGAAAUGCAUAGAUAUUACUUAGAACACCAAUUGCGAAGGCAGGUCACUAAGAUUUAACUGACGCUGAUGGACGAAAGCGUGGGUAGCGAACAGGAUUAGAUACCCUAGUAGUC